rnacentral:rRNA from 1 species
UACGAAGGGGGCUAGCGUUGUUCGGAUUUACUGGGCGUAAAGCGCACGUAGGCGGGUUGUUAAGUCAGGGGUGAAAUCCUGGAGCUCAACUCCAGAACUGCCUUUGAUACUGGCAACCUAGAGGCUGGAAGAGGUUAGUGGAAUUCCCAGUGUAGAGGUGAAAUUCGUAGAUAUUGGGAAGAACACCAGUGGCGAAGGCGGCUAACUGUCCAGGCUAUGACGCUGAGGUGCGAAAGCGUGGGGAGCAAACAGG